rnacentral:tRNA from 1 species
GCUCCUAUAGUUUAAUUGGUUAAGACAGUAUUUUUUCGUGAUAUUAAUGCGGGUUCGAGUCCCGCUAGGAGUA